GUCUUUGACUUUGCUUUGACUCCGGUGGUGACUGGGAGAUCUUUCUUUGUAUUUUCUAUCUUCAUAGUGAUUCUUCCUUCUCUUCCUUUCUCCUUCACUUGAUUCAUUCUCUGAAUCUGAUCGAGCCUUGUGACGCUUCUUAUCAAGGUCUUCAUCAAUGGUCCGUCUUUUUCUCCUUUCAGCAAUGUCAUCUUCGGAAUCUGAUUGAGCCUUGUGACGCUUCUUGUCAAGGUCUUCAUCACUGAUCCUACUUUUUCUCCUUUCUGCAAUGUCAUCUUCAGAAUCUGAUCGAGCCUUACGACGCUUCUUGUCAAGGUCUUCAUCACUGGUCCUUCUUUUUCUCCUUUCGGCAAUAUCAUCGUCUGAAUCGGACUGUGUUUUAUGCUUUGAUUUACUGGAUCGAUGCUUCUUUUUUUCCUUCUUACUGUGAUCUUUCUUCUUGUGUUCCUUUCCUUCAACCUGAC
rnacentral:lncRNA from 1 species